rnacentral:rRNA from 1 species
CUACGGGAGGCUGCAGUGAGGAAUAUUGCACAAUGGGGGGAAUCCUGAUGCAGCAACGCCGCGUGGAGGAUGACGCAUUUCGGUGUGUAAACUCCUUUUAUAUGUCAAGAAAAUGACGGUAGCAUAUGAAUAAGCACCGGCUAACUCCGUGCCAGCAGCCGCGGUAAUACGGAGGGUGCAAGCGUUACUCGGAAUCACUGGGCGUAAAGGACGCGUAGGCGGGUUGGAAAGUCAGGUGUGAAAUCCUACAGCUUAACUGUAGAGCUGCACUUGAAACUUCUAAUCUAGAGUAUGGGAGGGGGAGAUGGAAUUAGUGGUGUAGGGGUGAAAUCCGUAGAUAUCACUAGGAAUACCUAAAGCGAAGGCGAUCUCCUGGAACAUUACUGACGCUAAGGCGUGAAAGCGUGGGGAGCAAACAGGAUUAGAUACCCGUGUAGUC